AGAUGGCGACCGGCGCACGGGUGAGUAACACGUAUCCAACCUGCCGAUAACUCGGGGAUAGCCUUUCGAAAGAAAGAUUAAUACCCGAUGGUAUAAUCAGACCGCAUGGUCUUGUUAUUAAAGAAUUUCGGUUAUCGGUGGGGAUGCGUUCCAUUAGGCAGUUGGUGAGGUAACGGCUCACCAAACCUUCGAUGGAUAGGGGUUCUGAGAGGAAGGUCCCCCACAUUGGAACUGAGACACGGUCCAA
rnacentral:rRNA from 1 species